AGUAAUGCUUGGGAAUCUAGCUUAUGGAGGGGAUACCUACGGGAAACUGUAGCUAAUACCGCGUAGAAUCGAGAGAUGAAAGUGUGGGACCUUCGGGCCACAUGCCAUAGGAUGAGCCCAAGUGGGAUUAGGUAGUUGGUGAGGUAAAGGCUCACCAAGCCGACGAUCUCUAGCUGGUCUGAGAGGAUGACCAGCCACACUGGGACUGAGACACGGCCCAG
rnacentral:rRNA from 1 species